UGGGGAAUUUUCCGCAAUGGGCGAAAGCCUGACGGAGCAAUGCCGCGUGGAGGUGGAAGGCCUACGGGUCGUCAACUUCUUUUCUCGGAGAAGAAACAAUGACGGUAUCUGAGGAAUAAGCAUCGGCUAACUCUGUGCCA
rnacentral:rRNA from 1 species